rnacentral:rRNA from 1 species
AGGAUAAACGCUGGCGGCGUGCCUAACACAUGCAAGUCGAACGUCUCUUCUUUCGGGAAGAGGAGUGGCGGACGGGUGAGGAACACGUGGGAACCUGCCCUUCAGUGAGGAAUACCGGCGAGAAAUCGCCGACAAGACCGCAUAGCCCUCUCUGGUGAGAGCCAGAGAAGGAAAGCUUCGCAAGAGGCGCUGGAGGAGGGGCCUGCGUCCGAUUAGCUAGUUGGUGGGGUAAGAGCCUACCAAGGCGUCGAUCGGUAGCUGGUCUGAGAGGACGAUCAGCCACACUGGGAUUGAGAACGGCCCAGACUCCUACGGGGGGCAGCAGUGAGGAAUUUUCGGCAAUGGGGGAAACCCUGACCGAGCAACGCCGCGUGCAGGAAGACGGCCUUCGGGUUGUAAACUGCUUUCUUUGGGACGAGCAAGGACGGUACCAGAGGAAUCAGCCCGGCUCACUACGUGCCAGCAGCCGC